CGCAACCGUGAUCCUUGCCAUGGGGCGUGAGUGACGAAGGCCUUCGGGAUGUAAAGCUCUUUCAGUUGGGAAGAAACGACUGACUCACUAAUAAUUGUAAUUAAUGACGGUACCGACAGAAGAAGCACCGGCUAACUACGUGCCAGCAGCCUAGGUAAUACGUAGGGUGCGAGCGUUAAUCGGAAUUACUAAGCGUAAAUUUUGCGGCGGCGGUUAUGUAAGUCAGAUGUGAAAUCCCCGGGCUUAACCUGGGAAUGGCGUUUGAAACUGCAAGUUUAGAGUGUAGCAGAGGGGAGUGGAAUUGGGGUGUAGCAGUGAAAUGCGUAGAUAUGCGGAGGAAUGCCGAUGGCGAAGGCAGCUUCGUGGGCUAUCACUGACGCUCAUGCACGACUGCGUGGGGAGCAAACUGGAUUAGAUACCCUGGUACUCCACGCCGUCGAAGAUGUCAACUAGUUGUCGGAACUAAUUGAGGAACCGGGUAACUUAGCUAACGCGUGAAGUUGACCGCCUGGGGAGUA
rnacentral:rRNA from 1 species